AGAGUUUGAUCCUGGCUCAGGAUGAACGCUAGCUACAGGCUUAACACAUGCAAGUCGAGGGGAAACGACAUCGAAAGCUUGCUUUUGAUGGGCGUCGACCGGCGCACGGGUGAGUAACGCGUAUCCAACCUGCCCAUCACUUGGGGAUAACCUUGCGAAAGUAAGACUAAUACCCAAUGAUAUCUCUAGAAGGCAUCUGAAAGAGAUUAAAAGAUUUAUCGGUGAUGGAUGGGGAUGCGUCUGAUUAGCUUGUUGCGGGGUAAGCCACAAAGCAACGAUCAGUAGGGGUUCUGACGAGGAAGGUCCCCCACAUUGGAACUGAGACACGGUCCGAAACUCCUACGGGAGCA
rnacentral:rRNA from 1 species